rnacentral:rRNA from 1 species
UAGGCAAGAUUACCCGCUGAAUUUAAGCAUAUUAUUAAGCGGAGGAAAAGAAACUAACAAGGAUUCCCUCAGUAAGGGCGACUGAAGCGGGAAAAGCUCAGACUGAAAAUCUUCGGAAUUGUAGUCUGGAGAGGUGUGACCAGUUGCGAAUGUGGACUAAGUCUCCUGGAACGGAGCGCCAGAGAGGGUGACAGCCCCGUUCAUGUCUAUGUUCAAAGCGUACGGUCUGCCUUCUACGAGUCGAGUUGUUUGGGAUUGCAGCUCUAAGUGGGUGGUAAAUUCCAUCUAAAGCUAAAUAUUGGUGGGAGACCGAUAGCGAACAAGUACCGUGAGGGAAAGAUGAAAAGAAUUUUGAAAAGAAGGUUAAAGAGUACCUGAAAUUGCUGAAAAGGAACCGAUGGGAGGUAGUGUUAGUUCAUUUCCGUUUACGGGUUUGGACAAGUUAGGCUUCCUUCUUUAUGUGAGAAAAGCUUCGUUAGCCAUCUGGCGCGGAUUUGCUGUCAUGUGAAGGAGGGACUCUAACGAAAUGCCUCUUAUCAUCCCGUCUUGUAACACGGACCAAGGAGUCUAACAUAUGUGCGAGUGCUCGGAGUUCACCUCCCAGCGCGGAAUGAAAGUAAGUCUUAAGGUAGGAACAUGCUGCACUAUCGACCGACCAUGUCCUUCCGGGGUCAAGGUUUGAGUGUGAGCAUAGAUGUUGGGACCCGAAAGAUGGUGAACUAUGCCUGAGCAGGCCGAAGCCAGGGGAAACUCUGGUGGAGGGCCGCAGCGAUUCUAACGUGCAAAUUGAUCGUCGGACUUGGGUAUAGGGGCGAAAGACUAAUCGAACCAUCGAGUAGCUGGUUCCCUCCGAAAUUUCCCUUAGGAUAGCUGCAACCGGUUAAGAGUUUUAUCAGGUAAAGCGAAUGAUUAGAGGAUUCGGGGACGGAAUGUCCUCGACCUAUUCUCAAACUUUAAAUGGGUAAGAACCCGGGGUUGCUUAAUUGAACCCUGCGGUCGAAUGAUGGUUGCUAGUGGGCCAAUCUGGGUAAGCUAGAUUGGCGAUGCGGGAUGAACCGAACGUCGAGUUAAAGUGCCAAAGUAUCCGCUCACCUAGAUCCCACAAAAGGUGUUGGUUCAUUAAGACAGCAGGACGGUGGCCAUGGAAGUCGGAAACCGCUAAGGAUCGUGUAACAACCCACCUGCCGAAUGGACUAGCCCUGAAAAUGGAUGGCGCUUAAGCG